rnacentral:lncRNA from 1 species
UGAUUUUCGACUUUUCGGUGAUCUGUAUUCGUCUGUUUUGUUGUAUGUUGUAACUGAUCUGUUCUAUUGUUCGGUUCCAUUGAUUGAUCAAUGAGCCUGCAAUUGGGGAAGAACUGAACAAAUCUGAUGUGGUUUGAAAGAUAUAUAAGGAAUUACUAAAGAAGAAGAACCUACGACCAAUCUGAUCAUCCAUUCAAAGGCAAAUGGAAGUUUUAUGGUUAACCAUUCCAGUGGUUAGGUAUGACUGUGUGAGUUGAUAGAGGAUGGUGUGAAUGUAGAUUUUUAGAUAUAGAAGAAAAACUGAUAGUAUAGGAACUACAAGAAAACAAAUGAGGUCAAACCUCAUCUGAUUUUUUUGUAUGUAUAAAAAGAAAACAUGAUGACAUAUGAUAUAUUGAGAAUUAACAUUCUAUCAAUCUGAAUUCAGAAUUCUGAUUUGAUUCACAUAAUAAUACAAUUAUUGUCUUCUUCAUAGACGAUAGUAUCAUUGUGGCAACCACCGCAGUAAUUCCCUGGGGAUCUGAUCUGCCCCUGCCAUUCCCUGUGGUAUCCUGGCAAUCCACAACCAUAGCCAACAUGAUAGCAACUGCUACAACUCCCUCCACAGUAUCCAUUACAAUGAGGAAUGAUCUCAAUGUUUAAUUUGGGAUUCAGACUUUCAGCAUUCUUUGCUUCUUUAAGUUUAGGUUUACCUUCGUCUUCUUCCUCUUUAGGUUUCUUUGACCCUUCUUCUUUUUUAGAUUUAGCUUCUUCCUUGGGUUUUGUUUCUUCCUUGGGUUUGGCUUCUGCUUUAGGUUUGGCUUCUUCUUUCGGUUUGGUGUUUGGGACUUCCUUCUUGUAAGGUGCGAUACUCAAAAUAUCAGACAUCUUCCCCACCUUGGCAAGGUUCUUCACGACUUUGGUCACAUCAAUGUCCCCGAUUAGUGUGACCGUGUUAUUUUUGGCGUCGAUUGCUACUUCAUCUACCCCUGUAUAAACCCUAAUUCACAUAUAUAUAUAUAUCGAUGCAUGCAUAUAUAUAACUACUAACUAGAAUUAAACUGACAUUUUUUUGUCACAGAUCGAUCAACUUACCAUGAACCUUGCUGAUGGCUUUCAGAACUGCAAUCUGACAACGCUCUUGGCAAAAGGAGGUUUUGAUCAAUAUCUUCUUCUGCAUAUUUUUCCUAUAUCCGAUCGGAGAAUGAAACUGACCGCCCGAUAUAUUAACUUGAGGUAUAGUCUAUUAGUCUGUAUACAGAUUUGCCUUUCUUCUUCAUUAAUCAAAAUAUUUAAUAUCAAUUAAUUCUCCAUUCAUGUAGAUAUAUAUCCACGUUAUCUCCACUUUCUCAAGAUCUAGUUUCAAUUCUUAAUGCAUCUUCUUUGCAUUUUCUAAAUAUUCUUUUCUUUUGUCCCACCUUCUCUAAUGAGUAAGACGUUGGUAUUCCAGCAUUAUUAUUGUUAAAAAUAACAUUAUCUAUCGAUUUAUAAAAUCAAAUGUGCCAAACUGAAACUGCUAAUGGAUUUAAAAAAAGGCGGCAUGCAUUGAAAAUUGAAAAUUGAAAAUUUAAAUGUUGGUGUGUGAAUAUGGGAUUAGUGUAAAACUGUAAAUGUGUGAUUGACCUUAUUUUAAUUUUGACAUUGUUUUAAAUUUAAUUUACUUGAUUUUUAUUUUAUUGGGUCAUGAUCCAUGCGGUCAUGAAUUUAUUGGAUGUCAGUGGACUUUUAUUUUUGAUAGUUUUAUAAUAUGAAAAUUUGACUUCGUUUUUGACAUAUUCAACACGACAUGUUUCCCGGGCCCCAUUAG